rnacentral:rRNA from 1 species
ACGGAAGGCAGCAGUAGGGAAUAUUGCACAAUGGGGGGAACCCUGAUGCAGCAACGCCACGUGUGGGAAGAAGCAUUUCGGUGUGUAAACCACUGUCGUGAGGGAAUAAUGCUUGGUCUCGGCCAAGUUGAAUGUACCUCGAAAGGAAGCACCGGCAAACUUCGUGCCAGUAGCCGCGGUAAUACGAGGGGUGCAAGCGUUGUUCGGAAUCACUGGGCGUAAAGGGAGCGCAGGCGGAGAUGCAAGCAGUCUGUACAAUACCGGGGCCCAACCCCGGACCUGCAGACUGGACUGUUUCUCUUGGAUAGCUCAGGGGCAAGCGGAAUUCCUGGUGUAGCGGUGGAAUGCGUAGAGAUCAGGAAGAACACCGAUGGCGAAGGCAGCUUGCUGGGGACUUAUCGACGCUCAUGCUCGAAAGUGCGGGUAGCAAACAGGAUUAGAUACCCUGGUA